UUGUUUUGUUGGGUUUUUAUUAAAUGAAAUUGGAUAGAGCUUUGGAUCUUAAUUCUUCUGCUGAAUUUGUUUGCAGUUAAUUAACCAGAUGAAAGCAAUCACUGGGCAGGGAGGCUUGACUACUGUUAUUUAUGAAACUCAAAAACUCUAUUGAAAGGAAAGAUAUCAUUGUCACACUUCCUCUGCCCUUCUGAUAUGGCUCUAUUUACUUCCAAACUUGAAACAGCUUACACUUGAAUAUCUGUGCUGGAUUCCUCUGAGUUGCUCUUGCUUUACGCUGUGUUCUCCUCUUCAGCCGCUGGAGGUUUCAGUGGGAGCACUAAAUUGGAGAAUACCAUUCCUAAACCAUGACAGAUGGCCAUUCCAUCAUCUGAGGUGGACAACAGUGUGAAAUGUGGCCAAAAAAAGUCAAGAUACAAGAGACUGCAGCAGAAAUUUUGUCAUCCUUAAACUGUCACACUAGUUAGUCAUUAUGUGUUGAGCAGAAAUAAGCAAAUGCAAGAUGGAAAUUGUUCUACACUGUUCAGUGUAGACUAGCAUCCUUCUUUGUGUUAGUGGACCUUUAAGAUUUGUUAUCACAGUUAUAAGUCUAACAGACAGCAGUCCCGUAGCAUCACUUCUGAACAAUAAAAUACCAUUUUGAUAAAUUAUUGUCUACACUGAAGUGCCCCUUC